GACGAACGCUGGCGGCGUGCCUAAUACAUGCAAGUCGACCUUAGUGGCGAACGGGUGAGUAACACGUGGGUAACCUGGCCAUCAGAAGGGGAUAACACUUGGAAACAGGUGCUCAUACCGUAUAUUUCUGGAUGGACCCGCUGGGCAUUAGCUAGUUGGUGAGGUAACGGCUCACCAAGGCCACGAAGCAUCGCCGACCGGAGAUUGUGAUCGGACACAUGGGGACUGAGACACGGCCCAAACUCCGACGGGAGGCAGCAGUAGGGAAUCUUCGGCAAUGGACGAAAGUCUGACCGAGCAACGCCGCGUGAGUGAAGAAGGUUUUCGGAUCGUAAAACUCUGUUGUUAGAGAAGCGGUAUCUAACCAGAAAGCCACGGCUAACUACGUGCCAGCCGCCGCGGUAAUAC
rnacentral:rRNA from 1 species